GCCCGGAUAGCUCAGGCAGUAGAGCAAAGGAUUGAAAAUCCUUGUGUCCUCGGUGCGAUCCCGAGUCCGGGCACCA
rnacentral:tRNA from 1 species